rnacentral:rRNA from 1 species
UUUUUGAAAAUAAUUUAAAGUCUAAUCUGCCCACUGAUAAAUAUAUUAAAGGGCUGCAGUAUUUUGACUGUACAAAGGUAGCAUAAUCAUUAGUCUCUUAAUUGGUGACUUGUAUGAAAGAUUGGAUGAAAUAUAAACUGUCUCUAAUUAAUUUAUAAAAUUUAAUUUUUUAGUAAAAAAGCUAAAAUAAUUUUAAAAGACGAGAAGACCCUAUAGAGUUUUAUAAUUUGUUUAAUUAUUAUUAAUAUGUAAAUUUUAAAAUUAAAAUUAAAUAAAUUAUUUUGUUGGGGUGACAGAAAAAUUAAAUUAACUUUUUUAGAUAAUUAACAUUAAUUUAUGAAUAAAUGAUCCAUUAAUAUUGAUUAAAAGAAAAAAUUACCUUAGGGAUAACAGCGUAAUUUUUUUUUUUAGUUCAAAUAGGAAAAAAAGUUUGCGACCUCGAUGUUGGAUUAAGAUAAAAUUUAAAUG